AGAGUUUGAUCCGGCUCAGGACGAACGCUGGCGGCGUGUUUAACCCAUGCAAGUUGAACGAGAAGUAUUGGAGUGGAGUCUUCGGACGAAGCACUGAUACAGAAAGUAGCGAACGGGUGAGUAACGCGUGAAUAACCAACCCUCCACAGGGGGACAACAACUGGAAACGGUUGCUAAUACCGCAUAAGCCCACAGUACCGCAUGGUACAGGGGGAAAAGAUUUAUCGGUGGAGGACGGAUUCGCGUUCCAUUAGCUAGUAGGUAGGGUAACGGCCUACCUAGGCAACGAUGGAUAGCCGAGCUGAGAGGCUGAUCGGCCACACUGGAACUGAGAUACGGUCCAGACUCCUACGGGAGGCAGCAGGGAAGAAUAUUGUACAAUGGGGGAAACCCUGAUACAGCAACGCCGCGUGAAGGAAGAAGGCCUUCGGGUUGUAAACUUCUGUGACGGGGGACGAACAAAAGGNCG
rnacentral:rRNA from 1 species